rnacentral:rRNA from 1 species
AUUGAACGCUGGCGGCAGGCCUAACACAUGCAAGUCGAGCGGAUGAAGGGAGCUUGCUCCUGGAUUCAGCGGCGGGCGGGUGAGUAAUGCCUAGGAAUCUGCCUUGUCGUUGGGGAUAACGUCCGGAAACGGGCGCUAAUACCGCAUACGACCUGAGGGAGAAAGUGGGGGAUCUUCGGACCUCACGCUAUCAGCUGAGCCUAGGUCGGAUUAGCUAGUUGGUUGGGUAAAGGCCUACCAAGGCGACGAUCCGUAACUGGUCUGAGAGGAUGAUCAGUCACACUGGAACUGAGACACGGUCCAGACUCCUACGGGAGGCAGCAGUAGGGAAUAUUGGGCAAUGGGCGAAAGCCUGAUCCAGCCACGCCGCGUGUGUGAAGAAGGUCUUCGGAUUGUAAAGCACUUUAAGUUGGGAGGAAGGGCAGUGAGUUAAUACCUUGCUGUUUUGACGGUACCAACAGAGUAAGCACCGGCUAACUUCGUG